rnacentral:rRNA from 1 species
GUGCAGCAGUCGCGAAACCUUCGCAAUGCGGGAAACCGCGACGAGGGGACUCCCAGUGCCUACGCUCAGCGUAGGCUGUUCCCGAGCCUAGAAAGCUCGGGGAGUAAGGGCUGGGUAAGACGGGUGCCAGCCGCCGCGGUAAUACCCGCAGCCCGAGUGGUGGCCACUAUUAUUGGGCCUAAAGCGUCCGUAGCCGGCCCGGUAAAUGCCUGGGUAAAUCGUGAGGCCUAACCUCACGAAUUCCGGGUAGACUGCCGGGCUAGGGGACCGGAGGAGGGAGAGGGUACUCCAGGGGUAGGGGUGAAAUCCUGUAAUCCCUGGAGGACCACCGGUGGCGAAGGCGCUCUCCUAGGACGGGUCCGACGGUGAGGGACGAAAGCCAGGGGAGCGAACCGGAUUAGAUACCCCCGUAGU